rnacentral:rRNA from 1 species
GGGUCAGUAGGUUGGUCGUGCCACCGGUACGUACUGGUCUCACUGAUUCCUCCUUCCUGAAGAACCGUAAUGCCAUUAAUUUGGUGUUGCGGGGAAACAGGACUGUUACUUUGAAAAAAUUAGAGUGUUUAAAGCAAGCUAACGCUUGAAUACAUUAGCAUGGAAUAAUGAAAUAGGACGAUCGAUCCUAUUUUGUCGGUUUCUAGGACUGACGUA